rnacentral:rRNA from 1 species
GACGAACGCUGGCGGCGUGCUUAACACAUGCAAGUCGAACGGAAAGGCCCUGCUUUUGUGGGGUGCUCGAGUGGCGAACGGGUGAGUAACACGUGAGUAACCUGCCCUUGACUUUGGGAUAACUUCAGGAAACUGGGGCUAAUACCGGAUAGGAGCUCCUGCUGCAUGGUGGGGGUUGGAAAGUUUCGGCGGUUGGGGAUGGACUCGCGGCUUAUCAGCUUGUUGGUGGGGUAGUGGCUUACCAAGGCUUUGACGGGUAGCCGGCCUGAGAGGGUGACCGGCCACAUUGGGACUGAAAUACGGCCCAGACUCCUACGGGAGGCAGCAGUGGGGAAUUUUGCACAAUGGGCGGAAGCCUGAUGCAGCAACGCCGCGUGCGGGAUGACGGCCUUCGGGUUGUAAACCGCUUUCGCCUGUGACGAAGCGUGAGUGACGGUAAUGGGUAAAGAAGCACCGGCUAACUACGUG